AGAGUUUGAUCAUGGCUCAGGAUGAACGCUAGCGGCAGGCUUAACACAUGCAAGUCGAGGGGUAUAAGUCUUCGGAUUUAGAGACCGGCGCACGGGUGCGUAACGCGUAUGCAAUCUACCUUUCACAGAGGGAUAGCCCAGAGAAAUUUGGAUUAAUACCUCAUAGUAUAGCUGAACCGCAUGGUUCUACUAUUAAAGUCACAACGGUGAAAGAUGAGCAUGCGUCCCAUUAGCUAGUUGGUAAGGUAACGGCUUACCAAGGCUACGAUGGGUAGGGGUCCUGAGAGGGAGAUCCCCCACACUGGUACUGAGACACGGACCAGACUCCUACGGGAGGCAGCAGUGAGGAAUAUUGGUCAAUGGACGCAAGUCUGAACCAGCCAUGCCGCGUGCAGGAUGACGGUCCUAUGGAUUGUAAACUGCUUUUGCACAGGAAGAAACAACUCUACGUGUAGAGUCCUGACGGUACUGUGAGAAUAAGGAUCGGCUAACUCCGUGCCAGCAGCCGCGGUAAUACGGAGGAUCCAAGCGUUAUCCGGAAUCAUUGGGUUUAAAGGGUCCGUAGGCGGUUUAGUAAGUCAGUGGUGAAAGCCCAUCGCUCAACGGUGGAACGGCCAUUGAUACUGCUAGACUUGAAUUAUUAGGAAGUAACUAGAAUAUGUAGUGUAGCGGUGAAAUGCUUAGAGAUUACAUGGAAUACCAAUUGCGAAGGCAGGUUACUACUAAUGGAUUGACGCUGAUAGACGAAAGCGUGGGUAGCGAACAGGAUUAGAUACCCUAGUAGUCC
rnacentral:rRNA from 1 species